rnacentral:lncRNA from 1 species
ACCUCUCUAAAAGUAAGCUGCUGCAACAGCUGUUCUAAACAGUAUUGCAUUUGUCAAACACGCGAUGUAGUUGUGUUUUGUCAGUUCUUACUUGAAUUGAUCUGUAUAAAUCAUCUGAGGCAUGUUCUUACAGAAACAUCAUCACCUCUUCAUUAUAAAUCCAAAACUGGGGAAGAAGUAGGAGUCAAUAAAUGUGUGACAAAAGAUCUCCAAAAGAGAAGUAGUUUUGGUGGUAUAUCUUCAGCAGUGGUAAAGAUAUAUUG